rnacentral:RNase_P_RNA from 1 species
GGUAGUUAACUUCGGGAUUUAGCCUUUAGAUAGGCAAGAAACAGAAAUGGUUUCUGAAUCCUGAGGAAGGUCUGUCCACCCUGACAUUUGUCAGAAAAAGUCAUUCACGAAAGUGAAUUGUCGUGAGGCAAAGCUCUGCAACAGAAACGACACAGCUUGCUCAGAACAAUGAAUCAUGCGAAGAGUAAAGAAGAGCAAGAUUUGAUGAAACGGGCAUCUUGACUGGUGCAAGUUAUGUCUCGGCAUUGAAAGAACACAGCUGAGACAAAAACGCAUAGUUGAAUGUUAACACGAACUGUCUGAAUACAGAGUUCGACAGAAGAUGGCCUAUUCC